AUUGAACGCUGGCGGCAUGCCUUACACAUGCAAGUCGAACGGCAGCACGGGAGCAAUCCUGGUGGCGAGUGGCGAACGGGUGAGUAAUAUACCGGAACGUGCCCAGUCGUGGGGGAUAACGCAGCGAAAGCUGUGCUAAUACCGCAUACGAUCUAAGAAUGAAAGCGGGGGAUCGCAAGACCUCGCGCGAUUGGAGCGGCCGAUAUCAGAUUAGCUAGUUGGUGGGGUAAAGGCCCACCAAGGCGACGAUCUGUAGCUGGUCUGAGAGGACGACCAGCCACACUGGAACUGAGACACGGUCCAGACUCCUACGGGAGGCAGCAGUGGGGAAUUUUGGACAAUGGGCGCAAGCCUGAUCCAGCAAUGCCGCGUGCAGGAUGAAGGCCUUCGGGUUGUAAACUGCUUUUGUACGGAACGAAACGGCCCUUUCUAAUACAGGGGGCUAAUGACGGUACCGUAAGAAUAAGCACCGGCUAACUACGUGCCAGCCGCCGCGGUAA
rnacentral:rRNA from 1 species